GACGAACGCUGGCGGCGUGCUUAACACAUGCAAGUCGAACGGAAAGGCCCUGCUUUUGUGGGGUGCUCGAGUGGCGAACGGGUGAGUAACACGUGAGUAACCUGCCCUUGACUUUGUGAUAACUUUAGGAAACUGGGGCUAAUACCGGAUAGGAGCUCCUGCUGCAUGUUGGGGGUUGGAAAGUUGCGGCGGUUGGGCAUGUCGUCGCGGUUUAUCAGCCUGUUUGUGGGGUAGGUGCUUACAAAGGAUUUGACGGGUAGCCGGCCUGAGAGGGUGACCGGCCCCAUAGGGCCAGGGGAGCGGCCAAGACUGAUACGGGAGGCAGGAGCGGGGAAUAGUGCACACAGCGCGGCAGGAUGAUAGAGGAACGCCGCGUGGGGGAUGACGGCUUUCGGGUUGGAAACCGCUUUCGCCUGUGACGAAGCGUGAGUGACGGUAAUGAGUAAAGAAGCACCGGCAAACUACGU
rnacentral:rRNA from 1 species